rnacentral:lncRNA from 1 species
GACUGUGACACAAGGCUCAGCAGAAGGUUUGGUCCCUAUCAGAAGGGGCGGAGUGUUCAGAGAGCUCCUUAAUUCCGUGGCUCUGCCCUUCAAGGGCAAAUGUGUUCGUACUUUUUAUCUUUUGAAGGAGAUAAUUAGGGAGAACGAAGGUGGAACGUGCUUUUUGCCUUUUCUUUUCUCUCCAUAGGAAAAACCGUACGUUAUUUAUGUCCUCUUACUUGGAUGGCUCUGACUACUUUUUAUAAUGUGUUUGUCAAAUAAUUCCUUGUCUAGAAACAUUCAGGUCAUAGCUCCAACCUUUGGGCCCUGAGCAGUGUAAUCUCGUGUGAUCAAAUGACCCCAGAGAGAAGACCCACGGACUUGGAUGUAAUUCAAAGUUGGCAACGUGUCACGAACUGGAACAAAGUCCUUCAUCUGUGAUGAGUUUUCUGCUGUGAGAUAUCAGUGGGCAAGGAUGUGAUGCCUGAAGAUGUGGCAUCUACCUGGAAACAGUCAAGGACCUGAGGACAAAGCCAGCAUCUGAGGAAGACAGACAGAAAGGAUCUGGAUACAUGAUGAGCCUGAAAAGUAUCUUGCAUACACCACUGGCAGCACAGAAUCCUGACAAACCGCUCAUCAAAAAUCAACCACAGACUCUCUAUGCUCUUACCAAAACGCUGGCUUUGAGAACUAAUUUUUUUUUUUUUUUUUUUUGAGACAGAGUCUUGCUCUUGAGUAAAACAUGGGGAAAAAAUCUUUCUCAAUUUUAUCUUUGAAUCAGACUAUAUCAUGAAAGGGCUAUGUUUUUAUCCAUUACUAUUAAUACCAUGAAGGGUCCAGCAAUAGAUACAUCACCUAUAUUAACGAUAUAACUAUCUUUCAGAAUUAAUUCCUGCAUAGGUAAAUGAGUAAUUCUCUAAUUCCUACAAUUUCUACAACUCUAAGAUUCUGUGAUAUCAAAAUUUUCAAGUAUUAUACUAAACUCUCA